rnacentral:rRNA from 1 species
UACGAAGGGUGCUAGCGUUGUUCGGAAUUACUGGGCGUAAAGCGCGCGUAGGCGGCCAUACAAGUCAGAGGUGAAAUCCCAGGGCUCAACCCUGGAACUGCCUUUGAAACUGUAUGGCUUGAAUAUCGGAGGGGAUAGCGGAAUUGCUAAUGUAGCGGUGAAAUGCGUAGAUAUCUGGAGGAAUACCGGUGGCGAAGGCGGCAUCCUGGACCGACAUUGACGCUGAUGAGCGAAAGCUAGGGGAGCAAACGGG